ACGCGUUUCUUCUAAAAGUUAAUGUUUUGACUUUACUCUUUGGCCUAUCUGGAUUGGCUAUUCUAAGGGUAGACAGGGUGUGUUUUGACAUAUCCUUUUUUUCAACCUCCUAAUCUCAGUGUUAGGGAGCCCUAUAAUCAUAGACUUAAAAUGUUAUAGGCCUACAACACAGCAUUUGUCUGCACCAAUGAUCUGCAAGCAGAAUAUUCCAAUCAAAACUUUAAGAUGGCCUGUAGUGCUCUGUCCCUUGAAGAUGUGGCCCUCUGGCCUGCAAGGUCACUGACCCCAGGCUCUGUCUGGCUGCGUCACACUCGACUGUGCGGUUCUAGGUCUGUGCUGAAUGGGAGGAAAUAGGUGGUGCUCCCAGCUAGAGAGGCAGAAACUCUGACUCAAGCCGGCUUUAACCUAAAGAGGAAAUGGAUCACCUCACACUUCAGGAAAAAGGAAGUGUGGGGCAGGUGUGGCCUGCCAGUGGGAUGAAUCAACUUUUAACAAAGGCACUGGACGGGUUGGGUAGGCUUUCUGUUCUUCCCCAGGCUGCCCCAGUGGGAGCUUUGGCCUAAGCCUGCCCUCACUUCUAAGCAGAUACAGGGUGGGGUCCUUGGUUGCACCAGCUGCCGUGGUGGACCCAAUUCCCAGUCAUGGGUAUGACCCUCUGCGGUGAGAGAUUGGCUUAUACUCUGCCCCCUCCCAGGGCAGAGGUCCUGAAAGGAUUCAACUUGUAAGUAGUAUAGGCAGCCCCACCCUGGGGUGGGCUGGCCUGCUGUAAUUAACCAAUCCUCAGAGUGUCUGGUGUCUGAUGUUCGUCAACGUUGUGGUGAGACCAAUCAGAUCCACCCCUGAAACCUAGAGGGAAAAAAAAAAAAAAAACAGGGGGAGGGGGCAAAUAAAACUCUGAACAAAACUGGUUUUGUCUGUGUAGCAAGACAAGUCUCUGGUUAGCAUUGAGGCAGAUUCUCACUUCCUCUUUUGCCUUUAAUUGGAGAAGAGGGGGAAAAAGAGCCACAAGGAGACCUAAUGGAGGCGCUCAAGCCUCUGAGGACUCAGAGGUUCUGGGCAAAGUGCAGAGUCCAGUAGCUGUUUUUGGAACCCAACAUAUCUCAAGGACAGAGUAUGGGCUGGACUGUGAUCCAAGGUAAGGUAGAGACAGUGGGAGGGUAGUCCAGAACCGGGAGGCAUGGGGCUUAGACCCUGCUGGGAUCCCUCGUAGCAGGGGGAGGAGCAGAAAGGGCGAAUUCAGGCAACACCUCUCCUGCAUACAGGGCACACAGACUCCUGAAUGUGGCUAUCUUAGGCCAGGGCCCAGCAGGCUUCUCCUUUAGCCUCAGAACAGCAGAGGAUUCUGGUUGCUGUGGGUGCUGAGCGUGGGGACAAGAUGGGGAGUGAGUGUCUCAGACACACUGCUAGGCUUCCCAGUGUGGGCAAGCUCUUCUAAUAUCCAAACCACCGGUUCUUCAGCAGUUCUCUCCACUCCCACAUGCUCCCUCUCACUUCUGCUCCCCAGGGUUUACCCUACCCUCAGUUCACAAGCUUCUUCCUUCCUCUGCCCUGUGGCUUUGCCUGGGAGGCCUUUUUUUUUUUUAUUUCUGCCCGGAGGCAUUGCAGACAUUCCUGACGGAUUUCAGGCAGUAUCUGGCUAGUGGCUCAUCUGCCAUGGAAUGUGCUUUACCUCCUGUCUCCCCCAAGGUGACCUAUGCUCUGGAGUAUUGUGGAACUGAACAGCUAGCCAUUUUCCAGAGAGGACAGUGUGUGCGGAUCUCAACUAGUGUACCUGGCCAUGUGACGCAGGCAGCCACGUCAUCGACCCACAUCUCAAUUCUCUUGUGGUUUUGUGCCAUUGUGUCCUACAGAGAGCAUUCCAGGAAACCGGA
rnacentral:sRNA from 1 species